rnacentral:rRNA from 1 species
AACGAACGCUGGCGGCAGGCCUAGAACAUGCAAGUCGAACGGGUGUAGCAAUACAUCAGUGGCGCACGGGUGAGUAACGCGUGGGAACAUGCCCCUUAGUACGGGACAACGUCGGGAAACUGACGCUAAUACCGUAUAAUAUCUCCGGAUCAAAGAUUUAUCGCUGAGGGAGUGGCCCGCGUCUGAUUAGCUAGUUGGUGAGGUAAUGGCUCACCAAGGCCACGAUCAGUAGCAGGUCUGAGAGGAUGAUCUGCCACACUGGGACUGAGACACGGCCCAGACUCCUACGGGAGGCAGCAGUUAGGAAGAUUGGACAAUGGGCGAAAGCCUGAUCCGGCCAUGCCGCGUGUGUGAUGAAGGCCUUAGGGUUGUAAAGCACUCUCGUUGGGGAUGAUAAUGCCCGUACCCAAAGAAGAAGCACCGGCUAACUUCGUGCCAGCCGCCGCUUAA